rnacentral:rRNA from 1 species
CGAAAGCCUGACGGAGCAAUACCGCGUGAGGGAGGAAGGCUCUUGGGUUGUAAACCUCUUUUCUCAAGGAAUAAGAUCUGAAGGUACUUGAGGAAUCAGCAUCGGCUAACUCCGUGCCAGCAGCCGCGGUAAUACGGAGGAUGCAAGCGUUUCCGGAAUGAUUGGGCGUAAAGCGUCCGCAGGUGGCUAUGUAAGUCUGCUGUUAAAGAGCAAAGCUUAACUUUGUAAAAGCAGUGGAAACUACAUAGCUAGAGUGCGUUCGGGGUAGAGGGAAUUCCUGGUGUAGCGGUGAAAUGCGUAGAGAUCAGGAAGAACACCGGUGGCGAAGGCGCUCUACUAGGCCGCAACUGACACUGAGGGACGAAAGCUAGGGGAGCG